UACGUAGGGUCCGAGCGUUGUUCGGAAUCACUGGGCUUAAAGGGCGCGUAGGCGGGCUGGUAAGUCAGGGGUGAAAGCCCACGGCCCAACCGUGGAAGUGCCUUUGAUACUGCCAGUCUCGAGGGAGGUAGGGGCGUGCGGAACUUCCGGUGGAGCGGUGAAAUGCGUAGAUAUCGGAAGGAACACCGGUGGCGAAAGCGGCGCGCUGGACCUCUUCUGACGCUGAGGCGCGAAAGCCAGGGGAGCAAACGGG
rnacentral:rRNA from 1 species